rnacentral:rRNA from 1 species
GAUGAACGCUGGCGGCGUGCUUAACACAUGCAAGUCGAGCGAAGCACUUAGGAAAGAUUCUUCGGAUGAUUUCCUAUUUGACUGAGCGGCGGACGGGUGAGUAACGCGUGGGUAACCUGCCUCAUACAGGGGAAUAACAGUUAGAAAUGACUGCUAAUACCGCAUAAGACCACAGCACCGCAUGGUGCGGGGGUAAAAACUCCGGUGGUAUGAGAUGGACCCGCGUGUGAUUAGUUAGUUGGUGGGGUAACGGCCUACCAAGGCGACGAUCAGUAGCCGGCCUGAGAGGGUGACCGGCCACAUUGGGACUGAGACACGGCCCAAACUCCUACGGGAGGCAGCAGUGGGGAAUAUUGCACAAUGGGGGAAACCCUGAUGCAGCGACGCCGCGUGAGCGAAGAAGUAUUUCGGUAUGUAAAGCUCUAUCAGCAGGGAAGAAAAUGACGGUACCUGACUAAGAAGCCCCGGCUAACUACGUGCCAGCCGCCGCCGUAA